CCUACGGGUGGCAGCAGUGAGGAAUAUUGGUCAAUGGACGAGAGUCUGAACCAGCCAAGUAGCGUGAAGGAUGACUGCCCUAUGGGUUGUAAACUUCUUUUAUAUGGGAAUAAAAUGUUCCACGUGUGGGAUUUUGUAUGUACCAUAUGAAUAAGGAUCGGCUAACUCCGUGCCAGCAGCCGCGGUAAUACGGAGGAUCCGAGCGUUAUCCGGAUUUAUUGGGUUUAAAGGGAGCGUAGGUGGAUUGUUAAGUCAGUUGUGAAAGUUUGCGGCUCAACCGUAAAAUUGCAGUUGAAACUGGCAGUCUUGAGUACAGUAGAGGUGGGCGGAAUUCGGUGUGGAGCGGUGAAAUGCUUAGAUAUCACGAAGAACUCCGAUUGCGAAGGCAGUUCACUGGACGGCAACUGACACUGAGGCUCGAAAGUGUGGGUAUCAAACAGGAUUAGAUACCCGUGUAGUC
rnacentral:rRNA from 1 species